UGAGGUGAUAAGAAAGUGAGGUGCCUUUAAGAGCUUUAAAAUCCAGGGGUAAAGGGCCUCAAAUCUUCCGCUUCACAGGAGCAAAGUCACUAGGACCGAUCUCCUGCCUCCCAGCCAAGGGCAUCACUCACACUUUAAUCCUGGAUCCUGGAUCAUCUCUCCUAGUUUUACAACUUUUGCAGCCUCUACCUCCUGUACCAAGGGAGGAGGAGGAAGGGGAAGAAAGAGCAGGGUUUCCUCGGUGAUGGGUUAGUGACGGUGUUUCCCAGGCACCUAUUGUUUGCCAGGCUCUGAGCUGAGUGCUGGGGACACAGGGGUAACCAGCCCCAGCCCCACCCUCCAGGGCUCCCUGGGGAUGGGGGAGGAAAGUGACUUUCAUACAAGCUGCAUACUCAGAGCAGAAGCAAGAGAGACAGAGAGACCCAUAGGAGCUCUGCCAGCUUCUAGAGCCUCUCUCACUAGACUGUUUGAAGACUUAGUGGACCCUGGGUGGAAGUUCUUCCCCUUGUGGAACAGCCCUGUUGUGCUGCAGCGUCACCCCAUGUGGAUCCUUCACUCUGACACUGAAGAAUAUCUUUCUUUCUAAGAGCACUUUGCUUUCUUCCUCCUACUGAAUUCAGAUCCUCAGUCAAUCUUUAUAAUGACUAGUAAACAUCAGAAAGGACUCUGAGAUGCACUGCUAAUGGCGAGCUGCUGAUGUGAUAAUAAAAAGUUAGACUAAGGGUUUUGCUCACGUGUUAGAACUUUUACAUCCAAGAGGCAUUGUUCCCAUCCGUGUAAUUCACUUGGAAAGCUUGAUACCCAUUCCAGUCACAUCGCGCUGUCAAAUCACUUUGGGAACUCCCCUUUGGAAGUCUGUGGCAUGUGGUCUUGAAUAUUGGCAAAUGUUUAUUCUUUGAGGGUAAACUGUAUCUUUGGAAACACCCCCAAAGGCAUUUGGAUUGAAGUCUGGAGAAUAGGUAAGUGACCAAAACACGGGACUUUGCUUUGGGCCAAAAACCUUUUAAAACAUCUCUGUGUAGAUACUUAUUGCAAACAGGUCCUAGCUUCUGUGUUGUAAGAAAGAGAUCUCAAGUGUUUCAGAAUCUUGCCAUAUGAAAUAAAGCUUGACUGACCAUUUGAUGGGUAUGGAGUGGGGUAAAUGUGGGCACUGAUACUUGAAACCAAAUGACCCAUAUUCUCCCCUCAUGCUUUCACCACUGUUUUGGGUGUGGGAGAGAUGUUGGCUCCCUGACCCUGGGUCAGCUGGAGCAUCAAAGGUCAUUGAUCACCAUUUUCCUGCCAACAACGCUAAAUGGAGAUGCUCUCUCUUCUGUCCAUCACAAGAGUGUGGCUCAGCCUUUUAUAAAACCACUCCCUAUGUCCGCAUUCCCUGAGCUCUUCA
rnacentral:lncRNA from 1 species